UGGCUCAGAACGAACGCUGGCGGCGUGCAUAAAACAUGCAAGUCGAACGGGUGUUUCCCCGCAAGGGGAAACGCUAGUGGCGAACGGCUGAGUAACACGUAGGUGACCUGCCCUGAAGUGGGGGAUAACGACUCGAAAGAGUCGCUAAUACCGCAUGUGACCACCGAUCCAUUUCGGUGCUCAAAGUCGCAAGACGCUUUUGGAGGGGCCUGCGGCGGAUUAGCUAGUUGGUGGGGUAACGGCCUACCAGGGGGACGAUCCGUAGCUGGUCUGAGAGGAUGGCCAGCCAGACUGUUUUCUGAGACACGGGGCAAGACUCCUAC
rnacentral:rRNA from 1 species